rnacentral:rRNA from 1 species
CUCGUAGGCGGGGGCGUGCGUCCGGGAAGAAAUCUCAAGGCUCAACCUUGGGGCUAUCUCGGAUACGGCGCUUCUUGAGGGUGAGAGAGGAAAGUAGAAUUCCCGGUGUAGCGGUGAAAUGCGUAGAUAUCGGGGGGAAUACCAGCGGCGAAGGCGACUUUCUGGCUCAUUCCUGACGCUGAGGAGCGAAAGCGUGGGUAGCGAAG